GACGUGGGUGCUAGCCUCUAAGAUUUAGCCAUGCAUGCUUUGUGAACCCAGACGGGGGAACGGCGAACGGCUCAGUAAUGUUGCGGUGAUCUGCUCUGGUUGAGAAAGAUAACCACGGUAAACUGUGGCUAAGAGACCAGAAUGAGCUGCAACCCUAUCAGUUUGUUGGAAGUGUAAAAGACUCCCAAGACGUCGACGGGUAACGGGAAAUCAGUGUUUGAUUCCGGAGAGGGAGCCUGAGAGAUGGCUCCCACGUCCAAGGAUGGCAGCAGGCGCGAAAAUUGUCCACUCUUUGGAGAGGAGACAGUUAUGAGGCGUGAUUAAAAGAGCGAAGUGUAAACACCUUCGUGUAACGCAAUUGGAGGGCAAGUUUUGGUGCCAGCAGCCGCGGUAAUUCCAACUCCAAGAGUGCCCAUGGUGGAUGCUGCAGUUAAAAAGUCCGUAGUCGUAGAUGCAAUUAAAGGGUGCGGAUCAAGCGCACUGAGUUUGUUGAGUUGUAGCGGAGCGGAUAGGGAGCAUGGUAUAGGUUGGCGAAGAAUGAAAUCUCAAGACCCAACCUGGACCAACUGAGGCGAAAGCGGUGCUCUUAUACGCAUCCGAGGAUCAAGGACGAAGGCUGGAGGAUCGAAAGUGAUUAGAUACCGCUGUAGUUCCAGCAGUAAACUAUGCCGACAUUCUCUGUCCAGCGGACGGGGAAGGGAGAAAUCUUAGUUUUCGGGCUCUGGGGAUAGUACGCUUGCAAGAGUGAAACUUAAAGCGAAAUUGACGGAAGGACACUACCAGGAGUGGAUUGUACUGCUUAAUUUGACUCAACGCGGGAAAACUUACCAGGGUCAAGUUCUCCGUAGAUCGAGUACGUGAGGGGAACGAGAGUGGUGCAUGGCCGUUGGAAAUUGAUGGGAUGACUUUUAGCUUAAAUGCUGAAACCAGUGAGAUCUUCUAGACAGGUGCCAUCCGGCACAGGAGGGCGAAGGCGAUAACAGGUCCGUGAUGCCCUUAGAUAUCCUGGGCUGCAAGUGCAAUACAAUAUCCAUGUCGAUCAAGAAAGGUGAUUAUGGAUGAGCAGGAUUAGCUCUUGUAAAUGAGCUAUGAAUGAGGAAUUCCUAGUAACAGUGUCUCACUAAGGCAUUGUGAAUGCGUCCCUGUUCUUUGUACACACCGCCCGUCACUAUUUCAGAUGGCCAUGAAGAUGAAGAGCUUCGGUUCUGAAUAUUCAUGUC
rnacentral:rRNA from 1 species